rnacentral:rRNA from 1 species
GACGUAGGGCGCGAGCGUUGUCCGGAUUUAUUGGGCGUAAAGGGUGCGUAGGUGGCGGGGUAAGUCUGGUGUGAAAGCUCCGAGCUCAACUCGGAAAAGCAUUGGAAACUAUCCCGCUGGAGGGUCGGAGGGGAGACUGGAAUUCUCGGUGUAGCAGUGAAAUGCGUAGAUAUCGAGAGGAACACCAGUGGCGAAGGCGAGUCUCUGGACGACUCCUGACACUGAGGCACGAAAGCUAGGGGAGCAAACAGG